GACGAACGCUGGCGGCGUGCUUAACACAUGCAAGUCGAGCGGUAAGGCCCUUUCGGGGGUACGACGAGCGGCGAACGGGUGAGUAACACGUGGGUGACCUGCCCUUAGCUCUGGGAUAAGCCUGGGAAACUGGGUCUAAUACCGGAUAUGACUCCAUAACGCAUGUUGUGGGGUGGAAAGCCUUGUGCGGCUAGGGAUGGGCCCGCGGCCUAUCAGCUUGUUGGUGGGGUGAUGGCCUACCAAGGCGACGACGGGUAGCCGGCCUGAGAGGGCGACCGGCCACACUGGGACUGAGACACGGCCCAGACUCCUACGGGAGGCAGCAGUGGGGAAUCUUGCGCAAUGGGCGAAAGCCUGACGCAGCGACGCCGCGUGAGGGAUGAC
rnacentral:rRNA from 1 species